GUGGGGAAUUUUGGACAAUGGGGGCAACCCUGAUCCAGCCAUCCCGCGUGUGCGAUGAAGGCCUUCGGGUUGUAAAGCACUUUUGGCAGGAAAGAAAUCGCACGGGAUAAUACCUCGUGUGGAUGACGGUACCUGCAGAAUAAGCACCGGCUAACUACGUGCCAGCAGCCGCGGUAAUACGUAGGGUGCAAGCGUUAAUCGGAAUUACUGGGCGUAAAGCGUGCGCAGGCGGUUCGGAAAGAAAGAUGUGAAAUCCCAGGGCUUAACCUUGGAACUGCAUUUUUAACUACCGGGCUAGAGUGUGUCAGAGGGGGGUGGAAUUCCGCGUGUAGCAGUGAAAUGCGUAGAUAUGCGGAGGAACACCGAUGGCGAAGGCAGCCCCCUGGGAUAACACUGACGCUCAUGCACGAAAGCGUGGGGAGCAAACAGGAUUAGAAACCCCAGUAGUCC
rnacentral:rRNA from 1 species